rnacentral:lncRNA from 7 species
GAUCUCGUCCUUUCCGAGGUCCUCUGCCGCGUGUUUGGAAGUUAUGGCCGCGCGGGUCUGUGGUGUUCUCCCUGAAAGGCCUAAGCUUUGGGUGAUGGCAUUGCCUUUUGGCACUCGGGAGACAAGAUGCAGGUUCCGUCUCAGAAGUAAUGGCUGGAUCCCUGAAAGCCAACGGGCUCGGUGUGGUCCACCCGUCAGAAGGCAUAGGUAGAUGGUGGGCAUCUGCCUCAGACAUAGUUCUCAAGUUCAGCCAGAAGAAUGCGCGUUGAGCCCUCUGCAGCCCGUGUCGACGGAGGUGUUGUCUCCAGGAAGCAUCAUGGAAAGGCGUGGUGGUGCACAAGGGCCUUCAGGAUGCCUGCGCCUGGUGACGGCUGCGCCUCAGGUUCUGGGCCUGACUCGGAAGGGUGCCUGUGAGCAGAAGAGCUGGCACGCGCAGCUCAGUGGACCAUCAGUGCCAACCCGUCCUGUACCCUGGCUGAGGGGUGUGCUAAGUGGCAGAUUCCCGGUUGGCUCAUCGUAAGGCGUGGCACAAAAUCACCAUCGAAAGAAAGGGCCUUCGGGAUGCCUCUAUCUGGUUAUUGCCCUGUAGUGCCAGAGAGAACCACAUAGCCUGCUGCUGCUCCUGCCUUUAAUUUCCCAAAGAGUCAUCAGACGACCUUGGAGUUUGUUCUGCAAGAGGAGCCAGUAAGGCCUCGUGACUGUGGUCACCCUCGGAAGCCUUUGACAGCUAGCUGGUGAGGGCGCUCAGUCGGAGGCCCUGGGGAGGCCCCUGCUAAGCCGAGAAAAGCAUUUCUCACAGUGGAUUUCCUGGAAGUCAGGGUUGGCCUUUGUAUUUUGAAGCACAAAUAAACUUUAUAAAAUUUAA